rnacentral:rRNA from 1 species
AGAGACCGAUAGCGCACAAGUAGAGUGAUCGAAAGAUGAAAAGCACUUUGAAAAGAGGGUUAAAUAGCACGUGAAAUUGUUGAAAGGGAAGGAUUUGUGACCAGACUUUUUCUGGGCGGAUCAUCCGGGGUUCUCUCCGGUGCACUUUGCCCAGUAAAGGCCAGCAUCGGUUUUCGGCGGGGGAUAAAAGCAGUAGGAAUGUGGCUCUCUACGGGGAGUGUUAUAGCCUAUUGUAUAAUACCCUGCUGGGGACCGAGGUACGCGCUUCUGCAAGGAUGCUGGCGUAAUGGUUAUCAAUCACCCGUCUUGAAACACGGACCAAGGAGUCGAACAUUUGUGCGAGUGUUUGGGUGUUAAACCCUCACGCGUAAUGAAAGUGAACGGAGGUGAGAGCCCUUACGGGUGCAUCAUCGACCGAUCCUGAAGUUUUCGGAUGGAUUUGAGUAAGAGCAUAACUGUUCGGACCCGAAAGAUGGUGAACUAUGCGUGGAUAGGGUGAAGCCAGAGGAAACUCUGGUGGAGGCUCGCAGCGGUUCUGACGUGCAAAUCGAUCGUCAAAUCUGCGCA